rnacentral:rRNA from 1 species
GACGGAGGAUGCAAGCGUUAUCCGGAAUGAUUGGGCGUAAAGCGUCCGCAGGCGGCAGUUCAAGUCUGCUGUCAAAGACCGGGGCUUAACUUCGGAAAGGCAGUGGAAACUGAACAGCUAGAGUAUGGUAGGGGCAGAGGGAAUUCCUGGUGGAGCGGUGAAAUGCGUAGAGAUCAGGAAGAACAUCGGUGGCGAAGGCGCUCUGCUGGACCAUAACUGACACUCAGGGACGAAAGCUAGGGGAGCGAAUGGG